rnacentral:rRNA from 1 species
CCGGCAGGCGGACGUAUAAGUCAGUGGUGAAAGCCUACAGCUUAACUGUAGAACUGCCAUUGAUACUGUAUGUCUUGAAUUCGGUCGAAGUGGGCGGGAAUGUGUCAUGUAGCGGUGAAAUGCAUAGAUAUGACACAGAACACCGAUAGCGAAGGCAGCUCACUAGGCCUGAAUUGACGCUCAGGGACGAAAGCGUGGGGAGCGAACAGGAUUAGAUACCCUGGUAG